GCGGGCGUAGCUCAGUUGGUAGAGCCCCAGAUUGUGACUCUGGUUGUCGCGGGUUCAAGCCCCGUCGCUCGCCCCA
rnacentral:tRNA from 2 species